GGGAGGGGACUACUGCCAUGAGUCAUCUCUCCUGCUCCUGGAAGCAGCCUCUCAUAUAUUGAUCCACCAGGAGUGACUUCAUUGACUCAGCAUCCUGGGCUCAUAUGGACUUGUGUCUGUGGUCUGUUAUUGCCCUGCCAGGAGUGAAGAGACACUUCUUCAUGUCUCCUCAGGAAAAGCUGUACAUCGGAGAUUCUUAGCAUUAAGAGCAUCAUUAAGAGUACAAACAGCUGUGCACACAAGUGAAUAGUUUGAGUGUGAGUGUGUGUGUAUCGGUGUGUAAGUGUGUGUGAGUGUGUGUGAGAUUGUGUGAAUGUGAGUGUGUGCGUAUGUGUGUGAGAGAUUGUGUGAAUGUGAGUGUGUGUAUGUGUGUGAGAGUGUGUGUGUGAGUGUGUGAGUAUGAGUGUGUGUGAGUAUGAGUGUAUAUAUUAGUGUGUGUGAAUGUGUGUGAGUGUGAGUGUGUGUAUGAGUGUGUAUGUGAGUGUGUAUGAGUGUGUGUGAGUGUAUGUGAGUGUGUGAGUGUGAGUGUAAGAGUGUGUGUGAGUGUGUGAGUGUGAGAGAAUGUGUGUGUGUGUGUGUGUGUGUGUGUGUGUGUGUGUGUGAGUCUUAAGGUGAACGUUUGUAAGGCUUGCCUUCCUGCUGGUUUUCUCUGCCUGAGUCUUGGAUAUGGAUGGAUAUACAACCCUCAGCUUCAUUCUCUGACUACUUCUUGUCUCUCUCUCUCUCUGUUAUGGACUCUCCCAAUGGAACUGUAGGCCAAAAUAAGCACUUUCUUUUUUUACCCCUAUAAGUCACUUUUGAUCAUGGAGUUUUAUUACAGUGACAAAAAAUAAGGACUGCACCUCCCUAUCAUGUUAUGGCACCAUUCCUUGCGUUGUGGCAUUUACUAGACCAGCUUGCUUUUAUGGUUUCCAAGUUAAAGAGCACCUCAGUUGGUUCUGCUGAGACUCCCAACACUCCUGUCUCACAGAGGCUGAACCAGGACAGCGCCUGGCAGAGUCCAAAGACGAUGAACGCUGGGAGAUUCCUCGCAUCCGACUUCUAAAUCUAUGUGAGAGGAUGAGCUGGGAAAGCAAUGUCAUCAUUAGCACAAUCUAAUGCAGAAAGAUUAAAGCCUGAGGCUUCUUGUGCUA